CCUACGUGCGACAGCAGUGGGGAAUAUUGCACAAUGGGCGAAAGCCUGAUGCAGCAACGCCGCGUGAGAGAUGAAGGCCUUCGGGUCGGAAAGCUCUGUCCUCAAGGAAGAGAAUUACGGUACUUGAGGAGGAAUCCCCGGCUAACUACGUUCCAGCAGCCGCGGUAAUACGCGGGGGGCUAGCGUUAUCCGGAAUUACUGGGCGUAAGGGGGGCGUAGGUGGUUUCUUAAGUCAGAGGUGAAAGGCUGCGGCUCAACCGUAGUAAGCCUUUGAAACUGGGGAACUUGAGUGCAGGAGAGGAGAGUGGAAUUCCUAGUGUAGCGGUGAAAUGCGUAGAUAUUAGGAGGAACACCAGUUGCGAAGGCGGCUCUCUGGACUGUAACUGACACUGAGGCACGAAAGCGUGGGGAGCAAACAGGAUUAGAUACCCGAGUAGUC
rnacentral:rRNA from 1 species